UCAGAGAAGAUCAGCUCGAGAGACGCGAGGUGAUAGAAAGUUCCAGCUAUCCUUGUGUUUUUUCACCAGUUAGGCUUCAUUGUUUUAGCCAAGGCCAGUGUGCGUCCUUGUUGAUAUACCACACAGUCACACACUGGUUGAAGCAAGUUGCCAGACCACUAAGUGCCCUAGCCCAUCCAUACUACAUAGUGUCAUACUGUACUAUUGAUCUGUCUGUCACUGUGCCCUUACCAGCACACGGGAGCGAACACAUAAAGUAAGACCUAACCUAAAGAAUAUACAGUCCACCAUGUCCUCACUAACAUUGUGUUCUGUUCGAGCCGGAUAAAGGUGUUUACUCCAGGAUCAAGAUGCAGCGAGUUACCGGUGAAGCCUGGACCUGGUCUGAUCAUCCAAGGCACCAAUCCUCACCUUAUCCAAGUUAUACGAGCACAGGACAGUAUGUACAUGGACAAGAUGACCUUCAGCCUCGCAUGGAGGGAGCUGCCAAGAUGACACCCUUCACUCCACCCAGUCCCUUCCUCUCCAGCCAGGCCAGAAGGGACACAACUCCAGAUGAGUGGGAGACUUUCAGAGAGUACAGGGCCAUCCUAAACCCUCAUCUGACCUACGAGAGCAGAAGGAUGAGCCACAGUAAGCAGAGUAAGGAGCAACAUACAGGUCUGUCCGUGCGCUACAAUAGUCCCUGUGAACACAGGAAGCCACCUGCACAGCACGAGCUAGUGAGAAAUACCUACCUGUCAGCUCCUAGACACUCCCAGUGUGGAGCAUCAGCCCCUUGAUGGUGCCAGGGUGUGGCUACCUGUCCCUGCCAUUGGUUUUCAGUUCAGCCUCAGCAUGGGUAUCCAGCCUGUUCCUGACAAGGUGUUUCAAUCUGCCACCACGAAGGACCCAUCAGUCAACAGUAGUCUGCAGCCAGCCACUGUUCCAGAGUUGCCACCCGCUCCUGCUACAGAGCCGAAGUUAGUCAACGAGGUGGACUCUUUAGCUGCUCCAGCCACAGGGGCUCUGCCUACCCUGUCCUGGAGCCUAGACCAGCUACUGAAGAUGGUUACUGCUGAUCCCAACAAAGCUAACUCAUUCUUCCCUCAGGUUCCUGUAUGCCACUGACUAUGGGGCCGAGCCUACCCCGUGCUCCAGCCUCCUGUCUGUUCCUGGUAUAGGAACUCAGCCUAACCCUGUCAAGUCAGACUCACUGUCUGCCAGGCAUGAGGAGCAGCGUUCUCCAUCCAUGAGGGCCCAUCCUGUUUCCAUCAUCUUAGACCCGCUGCCUGCUACCCGGGCAGCCCAGCUGGACCUAAAGGUACAACCUGGCCCUGUCACCAGAUUCUGCAACAGAGAACCACCGUGUUGCAGCCACAGGCCCACAGACCACCGUUGAUGCAGAUCAUCAGCCAGCAUCUCCCUGGUUGCCACCAGCCACAGUCCAGGGAUCCUCAGCUCGUCUCAGUAUCUCUCCUACCAGCUGCAGCCCAGGGGCCACCACCUGGCUUUAGACUGUUAGUCUCCAGCAACGUGCCCUCAACUUGGCCCUGGCUUCCAGACACUGUUGGGGGGCCCCCACCUGGUCUUGAGUGGGAGCCCACCACUGCUUCCUCCACAGGGACCGCUUUAGCCGCUGCCCUGAGGUCCCAUCCAUUCCUUGCCAGCAAGGUUUUCUCUGUUUCUAAAGGGGAGCCUCCGCCUGCUUCUCAUCGGAGACCUUCAGCGACGCCUCCUGAGAGGCCAGAGCUCGACCCUGACUUCUGGGACUUUCAGUCAUCUCACCUGCAACCUGUUAGUCCCUGCCUGUGAGAUCCACCCUGGCUCAGUCGGGGAGCCCCAACCUGACAGUUGUUGAGAACCCUUUGCAGCUUUAGCCCAGGGUCCACAGUCACACCCUGCCUGGGGAGCUCUGCUGCCUUCUCUGAAGAACAUGUCUGUCCCUGCUAUGAAACCUCGGCUCAGCCCGAUUAUCAGCUCAGAUCUGGCUCCUGACCCUAAGACUCAGUUUCCCUUGGUCUGGAGGUCGCUGCCUGAUCCGGUUGGGGAGUCUCCGUCAGAGCCUGAGCCCUUUCGGCUGUCUGCCGUAGAGCUACUACCUGGCCCUGCUCUAGGGAUCAAGCCAGCUCCUGCCAAUGGAGCCCAGAGCACUCCCCCCUUUGAGUCUCAGACUGUGUCAGCCCUAGAGACUGUUUCCUACCAAAUCAAAUUUUAUUUGUCACAUACAUGGUUAGCAGAUGUUAAUGCGAGUGUAGCGAAAUGCUUGUGCUUCUAGUUCCGACAAUGCAGUAAUAACCAACAAGUAAUCUAACUAACAAUUUCAAAACUACUGUCUUGUACACAAGUGUAAGGGGAUAAAGAAUAUGUACAUAAAGAUAUAUGAAUGAGUGAUGGUACAGAGCAGCAUAGGCAAGAUACAGUAGAUGGUAUCGAGUACAGUAUAUACAUAUGAGAUGAGUAUGUAAACAAAGUGGCAUAGUUAAAGUGGCUAGUGAUACAUGCAUUACAUAAAGAUGCAGUGGAUGAUAUAGAGUACAGUGUAUACAUAUGAGAUGAAUAAUGUAGGGUAUGUAAACAUUAUAUUAGGUUCCUCCACAGGGGCCGCUUUAGUCUUCCCCUAGUACAGAUUCCCUGCUGGUAGCCCCAACAGCCUCUGAGUCAGUUGUUGGAGACCUGUUGGACCAUGUAGUAGGACCUGUCUGCCAGCCUUUACUUGCCAGUGUCCUGCCCUUGGUUAUUAGUCAGGCCAUGGUGCCCCUGUCCUUAGCUCCUCUGUCACCAGACAUGCAGGUGUCCCGGGUGCCCUACUAGGUAAGCAGUCAGGUGUUCCCCCUAGUUUCCUGCCAGCUGACACCCUAGUAGUUUGGACUGUAACUGACAGCUGCUCCUACACCACUAGAGCAGAGAACCCUUUCUGUCAUUUAAGCCCUGGACUAGAGUUUAUUUGUUUUUAGUGGUUAUGCCUAGCCAGGCCCUCUGUUGAUCGGAUGGCUAGACACCCCUAGACAUAUGUCUGUUAUGUUUGGGUAAUUGUUAAGAUAGACCUUUUACAUAAAAAUUAUAGGACUGAGGAGCUCAGUUCAGGUGACUUAAGAGGACAUUCUACUCCGAAAUGAAAUAAGUAUGCUGACACCAUCUAAAAUAGAAUUUCCACCUCUAGAAAUUAACACAUUGGUUAAAUUAUUUGUAAAAAAUAUCUUAACCUAUCGGGCCAUGUACAGUAUAUGGUCCAUAAUAUCAGGUAUGCUAUUAGCAAUAAACAUCACCUUUAGCCCAACUGAUGCAGCAAAGUGCAAAUAAAUUGGCAACCCCAUGCUUCAGCCUAUCUCCAUUUACCCUAUUGGGCAUUUAUUUAUUUUUUAAAUUUAACCUUUAUUUAACUAGACAAGUCAGUUAAGAACAAAUUAUUUUUUACAAAUGACGGCCUACCCGGCAAAACCCAGACGACGCUGGGCCAAUUGUGCACCGUUCUACGGGACUCCCAUUCACAGCCAGAUGUAAUAAAGCCUGGAUUCAAACCAGGGACUGUAAUGACGGCUCUUGCAUUAAGAUGCAGAGCCUUGGACCACUGUGCCACUCUUGAGCCUCAACUCAAAAUCAUUAGCCAGAUCUCAAACGUGAUCUUUUAACUAGUUAUUAUCAUAUUGAUGAAUUUUAGGACCAAAAAAACCUGCAUAAAUACUGAAUGUAAUGUAGGCCUAGCUGUUAGGGUAACUUGCCACCUGGGGUAAAAAGUCCCCUGCCUGUACUUCUCACAGAAACCACUUCAUGUAACAAUCCCCCCCCCCCCAACACUUUCCCUGGUUUCUAAUACUCUUGUACAACAGAAUCUGUCUCAUCACAAUUUAAGUCAUUCCAAAUAAAUUAUUUUAAGGUAGAGAGGCAUUGUACCCCAAGUCA